CCUACGGGAGGUAGCAGUGGGGAAUUUUGGACAAUGGGCGCAAGCCUGAUCCAGCAAUGCCGCGUGAGUGAAGAAGGCCUUCGGGUUGUAAAGCUCUUUUGUCAGGGAAGAAACGGCUGAGGUUAAUACCUUUGGCUAAUGACGGUACCUGAAGAAUAAGCACCGGCUAACUACGUGCCAGCAGCCGCGGUAAUACGUAGGGUGCAAGCGUUAAUCGGAAUUACUGGGCGUAAAGCGUGCGCAGGCGGUUUUGUAAGUCUGACGUGAAAUCCCCGGGCUCAACCUGGGAAUUGCGUUGGAGACUGCAAGGCUGGAGUCUGGCAGAGGGGGGUAGAAUUCCACGUGUAGCAGUGAAAUGCGUAGAGAUGUGGAGGAGCACCGAUGGCGAAGGCAGCCCCCUGGGUCAAGACUGACGCUCAUGCACGAAAGCGUGGGGAGCAAACAGGAUUAGAUACCCUGGUAGUCCACGCCCUAAACGAUGUCUACUAGUUGUCGGGUCUUAAUUGACUUGGUAACGCAGCUAACGCGUGAAGUAGACCGCCUGGGGAGUACGGUCGCAAGAUUAAAACCGUUAAAGAGUAGUAGCGNGNGAGAGACGACGACGACGACGAGGAGGAGGAGG
rnacentral:rRNA from 1 species